UGACUUUUAAUCAAUUGGUCGCAGGUUCGAAUCCUGCACGACCCACCA
rnacentral:tRNA from 1 species